GUUUACGGCCGUGCUACCCUGAACAAGCCCCAUCCCGUCUGAUAUUGGAAGCUAAGCAGGGAUGGGCCUGGUUAGUGCUUGGAUGGGAGACCACGUAGGAAGAUCAGGUGCUGUAGGUG
rnacentral:rRNA from 1 species